AGUGAACGCUGGCGGUAGGCCUAACACAUGCAAGUCGAACGGCAGCACAGUAAGAGCUUGCUCUUACGGGUGGCGAGUGGCGGACGGGUGUGGAAUACAUCGGAAUCUACUUUUUCGUGGGGGAUAACGUAGGGAAACUUACGCUAAUACCGCAUACGACCUACGGGUGAAAGCAGGGGAUCUUCGGACCUUGCGCGAUUGAAUGAGCCGAUGUCGGAUUAGCUAGUUGGUGGGGUAAAGGCCCACCAAGGCGACGAUCCGUAGCUGGUCUGAGAGGAUGAUCAGCCACACUGGAACUGAGACACGGUCCAGACUCCUACGGGAGGCAGCAGUGGGGAAUAUUGGACAAUGGGCGCAAGCCUGAUCCAGCCAUACCGCGUGGGUGAAGAAGGCCUUCGGGUUGUAAAGCCCUUUUGUUGGGAAAGAAAAGCAGCAGGUUAAUACCCCGCUGUUCUGACGGUACCCAAAGAAUAAGCACCGGCUAACUUCGUG
rnacentral:rRNA from 1 species